rnacentral:rRNA from 1 species
UACAGGGGGUGCAAACGUUGCUCGGAAUUAUUGGGCGUAAAGCGCGCGUAGGCGGCCGCUUAAGUCGGAUGUGAAAGCCCCUGGCUCAACUGGGGAAGUGCACCCGAAACUGAGUGGCUUGAGUACUAAAGAGGGUCGCGGAAUUCCUGGUGUAGAGGUGAAAUUCGUAGAUAUCGGGAGGAACACCGGUGGCGAAGGCGGCGACCUGGGUAGAUACUGACGCUGAGGCGCGAAAGCGUGGGGAGCAAACAGG